AGCAACUGGGCAUGCCCCAGAGGACUCAGAGGGCAGGAAAGAUGAUGCAGGAGGGAAUCUAACCUGUGUCGUUCUGGAUCAGCAGGUGGGUAGAGAGGUGGCAGGACAAUGGAGGUCCAUUGGGGAUAGCAUGGGGCUCCAGGUAUGGAAGCUGGGCUUCCCCAGAGGCCUCAGUGGACAGGAAAGACAAGACAGUAAAAUUAACCUGAAAGACAGUUUCAUGCUGUUCAACGUUUUCUUUCUUAAAGCAUUCCCAUAUAGCUAAGAAAAGAUUUGAAAAACUUAAGAUGUGAAAAUAUAUGCAUGCCCCCUCCCUGAGUCUCUGUGUAUGUGUAUAUAGAUACAUAUGUAAUGGUCAUGUGAUCCAUGCGCUUGACGUUGUGCAUAUGUCUGUGGUUUUUUUGUACAUGUGUUUUUGUUUGUAAAAAGGUGUAUCACUUUGAAGCUGGACACUCUGAAUCCUUCCGUAAAUUGAGUGUGUGGAUUUAGCAAAAGGAACCUUUGAAUCAAAGUUUCUGUUGGAAAUGUAGAAACAUUGCUAUAAUUUCUUUAUGGUUAUUGCUUUGUAGGAAACUAAGAAUAGUCUGAUUUUUUAAAACUCUGAACUGAUUUGCUUUACUAGUAUCAAUGUCGACAUAAUUUCUCUUUAGACUUGGUACUCAGUGACUUGAUUAAUGCUUCAAGAUGAUUAUUCUGUGUACUGGCUAGUUUUGUGUCAACUUGACACAAGCUGGAGUUAUCACAGAGAAAGGAGCUUCAGUUAGGGAAAUGCCUUCACGAGAUCCAGGUGUAAGGCAUUUUUUCAAUUAGUGAUCAAGUGGGGAGGUCCCCUUGUGGGUGGUGCCAUCUCUGGGCUGGUAGUCUUGGUUCUAUAAGAGAGCAGGCUGAGCAAGCCAGAGAAAGCAAGCCAGUAAGGAACAUCCCUCCAUGGCUUCUGCAUCAGCUCCUGCUUCCUGACAUGCUAGAGUUCCAGUUCUGACUUCCAUGGUGAUGAACAGCAGUAUGGAAGUGUAAGCUGAAUAAACCCUUUCCUCCUCAACUGCUUCUUGGUCAUGAUGUUUGUGCAAGAAUAGAAACCCUGACUAAGACAAAUUGGUACCAGCAUAGUGGGGUAUUCUUGUGACAACCUGACCAUGUUUUGGGGAGGACUGUGGAAGGACUUUGGAACUUUGGGCCAGAAGAUCCAUUCAGUGUUAAGAGCUCUGUAGAAUGUUGUAUAGGAGCUUGGAAGAUAAUGUUGAGAACAGUGCAGAAGAUGGAGGCCUGGCUUGUGAAAUUUCAGAGGGAAGAUUAAAGACUCUUUUCAGGGCCAAUGCUAUUUGGAUUGUAAAGAUUCUGUAGUUCUGGUUAGCUGGUGCUGAAGAAUCAGCUGUGAUUAAUAAGAUACCAGAACUACUAAAGUAAAACCUUUGCAUUACUGGGACUUUUGAUGCUGGUUAGCUGGAGCUAAGAAAUUAGUGGUGAUUAAGAAGAGACCAGCAUCAUUGAGAUGAUAUCUUCUGGGAAGUGUUUUCUGAGAGCACAGAGGCUGUGUUCCAGAGAUAACCAAGGUUGUACCUUGUGCUACUUGGUGGGACUUGGUUAUGUGUAAGAGUCACCCAGGUGGUACUGGUUUUGAAGGCAUGAAGGGGUCACACAGAACAGCUGAGGCUCGGCACUGUGAGAGGCCAUGGAAGGCCAUUGGUGAAGGUGCAGCCUCAGUUGCAAUUGAUGGCCCAGGAUUAAAGGGGUCAUGCAAAGGAGUUGAGGCUUGGUACCAUGAAGAGAGCCUAUGAGAGGCUAUUGUUGAAGCCAAGUUACAGUGAAAGAUAGCAGCGUUUUGGAGAUGCCAGUACCACGAGAUGACCACCAAGAACAGCAGCAGCAGUGGAGUACAGGCAGCUGGAUCCUAGAAGACAAACUGUGUGCUACAAAGGACAGUGCUGGAGAAGUGACCCAAGCCCUUGGAGGAGCCCAGAAGAUGGUUUCUCUAUGGAUGAAUAAUGUCUCCAGUGUACGUGUAUCAUAUUUUCUUUGCCCAUCCGUUUGUUGAUGGAAAACUGAUUCCACUUCGUAUCUGUUGUGAAUAGUAUAUAUCAAUGCCAUGAAUACAGAGUCUCCUGACCUCUUUAGAGACUGGAAGAAAGAUGAUGCCCUCUAGUGCUGUGGACAGUUCAGCCUGCAAGCCGUGAUUCAUCAUUACGUUCUUCGUCGGCCCCUGAGAGGCUCCUUCAUCAUCAUCCAUCUUUUUCUAGAAGAGAUCUUUAAAUCCCACUUUGUUUAAGAAGAAUAAUGUUGCUGCCUUUUGUGGGAAUGGGGUAAGAAUUUUUUAAAGCAUAUUUUUUUCAAGGAAAGGAGAUUUUAAACACAGAUGUGUUAUUUGUGAAAUUCCCAGGGUUUCACAGUCACCCAGCUUCUUCAGAUCAUUUCUUGUGCGUGCUACAGAGGAUGGUUACUGCUGCUACUGAUUUCUCUUUGCUUCUCUCUGAGAACCCUAGAUUUCUACGCUUGAACUUAAGUGUUCUCUGAACACUGCCUCUACCCAUCGCUUUAGAAUAAGAAGACAAGACUAUGAACAGUCAUGGGAUUUUAUUGCCUUGACAUUAGUUCACCAAUGAGCAGGUAUCUUAAGUAAUAUAACGGCACUCAAUCUGUAGCAAUGUGAGGACUAUUGUCUUUUUCUUUUCCUUGUAGGAAGAGGAAGGAAAAGCCAAUUGCCUUUAGGGCUCCUGGUAGACAUCUUUUUCAAGCCCCAGCUGUGCAGGGCAUAGAGGCAGAGAAGCAUGAGGGCGACUGAGCAGUGGGACAAGAAGUGGAGAGAAGACAGUGCCAUCAGUCAAGCUUUACCACAGGAUCCCGCUUUCCUGGAUCAGCUUUUAGGGAUAUGAACCAAUACAUUCUCCUUUGACAUAAUUUAACAUGAGUUCAGUUAUAUUGUGUCUCAUCUAAAAUGUGCUGCCUAAUAUAUAUCUGGACUCCAAAAGGAAGAUGAUAUUCUGGGAUUAUAAAAUCUAUUGCAGGCUGCACUUGAUGCCAUGUAUACUUUCAAUGGAGGAGGAUACUUUGAAAGGAGGGGUGAAUAUAACUCAGAGAGGAGAAGCUUCACCCCUUUUCUGUUGCUGGUAGAACCAUGGGUAGGGAGGAUCUUAACAGACGAUUCCUGAGCUGCAGAAACUUUGCAUGGGUACAGAACACACAGCUGUACAACUUGGUUUUUACUGCAAAGACCAAUUUGAAGCUGAGGCAAAUCUGCAUUAGUUUGGCUUCCACACACAGAACCAUUUGUAUUAUAGUUAAUUUAAUAGACAUUUAAGGAGCACAUAGUGUGUGCCAAAUGUUUGACAUAAAGAAAACAACAACAACAACAAUAUCCUUAUACUAAAAAUUUCAGAAAAAAGAAGGGAAAAGUACUGAUGAGAGAUCCAUCUAAAGAGGAUGGAAAGGCAUCCUUACACAUGAUGCCAACAGUACAGUAAGUUGUACCUAUAGUUUAUAAAAGUGGGUCCUAAAUGUUUAUCCUUGGUUACCCCCCACACACAUGAAAAAUAGG
rnacentral:lncRNA from 1 species